UACGAGGGGUGCAAGCGUUGCUCGGAAUUAUUGGGCGUAAAGGGUAGGUAGGUGGUCUUAUUUGUCUGGGGUGAAAGCCUUGAGCUUAACUCAAGAAGUGCCCCAGAAACGGUAAGACUAGAGUCUUGGAGAGGGUCGUGGAAUUCCCGGUGUAGCGGUGAAAUGCGUAGAGAUCGGGAGGAACACCAGCGGCGAAGGCGGCGACCUGGACAAGCACUGACACUCAACUACGAAAGCGUGGGGAGCAAACAGG
rnacentral:rRNA from 1 species